UACGGAGGGUGCAAGCAUUAAUCGGAUUUAUUGGGCGUAAAGGGCGCGUAGGCGGAAAAGAAAGUCAGAUGUGAAAUCCCGGGGCUCAACCUCGGAACAGCAUUUGAAACUCUUUUUCUAGAGGAUAGGCGGAGAAAAUGGAAUUCCACAAGUAGCGGUGAAAUGCGUAGAUAUGUGGAAGAACACCAGUGGCGAAGGCGGUUUUCUAGCUUAGACCUGACGCUGAGGCGCGAAAGCAAGGGGAUCAAACAGG
rnacentral:rRNA from 1 species